UACGGGGGGGGCAAGCGUUGUUCGGAAUUACUGGGCGUAAAGCGUACGCAGGCGGCUUUGCAAGACAGGUGUGAAAUCCCCGGGCCUAACCUGGGAACUGCAUUUGUGACUGCAUAGCUAGAGUUUGUCAGAGGGGGGUGGAAUUCCACGUGUAGCAGUGAAAUGCGUAGAGAUAUGGAGGAACACCGAUGGCGAAGGCAGCCCCCUGGGCUAACACUGACGCUCAGGCACGAAAGCGUGGGGAGCAAACAGG
rnacentral:rRNA from 1 species